AGGAAACACCUGUAUAUCAUUCCGAACACAGAAGUUAAGCUCUUAUUCGCUGAUGGUACUGCGAGUUCGCGGGAGAGUAAGUUAUUGCCAGGGUUUUUAUUUUAUACUUUAAACCUUGAAUUUAUUUUUUAAAUGUUUAUAUUAUUUGAAUAAAACAUUCAAAUAAUAUAAAAAAUAAUAUAUAUA
rnacentral:misc_RNA from 1 species